UCAGGCCUAACACAUGCAAGUCGAGCGGGGUUUUCGGACCUAGCGGCGGACGGGUGAGUAAUGCGUAGGAAGCUACCCGAUAGAGGGGGAUACCAGUUGGAAACGACUGUUAAUACCGCAUAAUGUCUACGGACCAAAGUGUGGGACCUUCGGGCCACAUGCUAUCGGAUGCGCCUACGUGGGAUUAGCUAGUUGGUGAGGUAAUGGCUCACCAAGGCGACGAUCCCUAGCUGGUUUGAGAGGAUGAUCAGCCACACUGGAACUGAGACACGGUCCAGACUCCUACGGGAGGCAGCAGUGGGGAAUAUUGGACAAUGGGCGCAAGCCUGAUCCAAACAGUGCCGCGUGUGUGAAGAAGGCCUUCGGG
rnacentral:rRNA from 1 species